UAUUCCACAGCACUAACCUGUAUUAACGAUUAAAUAACCUUAGCUCAUAUAACUGCACUUUAAUAAGGAAACUAUAAUGAUUUAUAACAUGACAUUUUAGAUCUAGAGGUAAAUGCUAUAGUGUUUGCUGAAUGACUUGGUAAACGACCCGUAUGUUCUUUCCUUUUUUUUUGUCAGCCGACGUGUAAUUUUAGAAAAGGGAGAGAAAAAACGCAGUUUUUGUUUUUGAAAGCUCAGCUCCCUCGCCUCUCUGUGUUUAUUUCACAUUACCUAACACGCCAUUGUGGGCGUGGCUUAUGUAUCUUUUAUUUCUAUUGGUCGCACACGAUCUUCUAUUCUCAUUGGUCUAUGAACGACUUCACGUAGUUCCGCUAUUAAAAAAAAAGGCAACGGUCUUCUUCAUUUCAGCUCCGAUCGCUGUUUAUGUAUCUGCUUUGCUUUUGUUUUGUUUUUCCUUUAUGUGCAUCUUAUCCAAUAUGGCGGCACUGGUGAGGACUUUUCUGUCGUUGUUUUCUAUGGCAACCAGAAAAAAAGUGGUAGGAGGCUAGCCCCGGACAGGUUGUCACAUGAUUAGCGACUAAAACCGAGCUGCCUGAUUCCAAUAUGGUGGUUGGCUCGGCGGAGCUACGUAUCCUGUUAAUGAUAUUGUGGGCUUGCUGGUUCGGCUCUGGCGCAUGCAGCCAAAACACGUCGCUGCGGGUCAUCGGUCUGAGACUAGAGGAGGCCAGCGACCGUGUGUACAUGCGCGGGAGAAUCCUGACCGCUGCGCCUGGCUCCACUUUUAAGCUCCGGUUGUUUGGUUCCUACCUGCUGAAUGGGACUUGGCCGUGGCUUGCAUUUGUUAGAGUGGAUGCGAGUGUCGCUGAGGACGCUUGUAACCAAGAAACGUUGCGCAAUACUUCUGCUUUCCAAGUGCGCGAAGAAUUUAACCCGGACGAGGAAAACGGAGGCUUAAUAGUAGUCCAAACUGAGGAUACAAACAUCUCGGAUCAGGUAAACGAUGAAACGCAUUCGGUUUUCUACUGCUUGUGCGUAUUCAAUGGGGAAACCUGGCAGCCAGCGGGGCCGGACAGGUUCCGUUUAAAAGACCCAGAUCUGCCACCCGAAUGGAUCCCAACAUGGGGUCUAGCCGUAAUCAUCAUCCUAGUAGUCCUCAUAUGCUCACUGAUAAGAUGCCUUCAUCUCAGUUUGCUUUGGCUUGACCCUCUGGAGCUUUAUGUACUGCACAGCUGUGGGUCAGAAGAUGAGCGACGUCUGGCGAAACGCCUGGAGCCAAUUCGGAGGAGAGGAAACUUUCUUGUUUGCUCUCUGCUUUUCUUGUGUGCACUGGGCCACUCGGUGCUCGGUGUGGUCUUCUACCGUGCCUUCGCAUCCAUCCUUCCAGCUGCAUUUGCAUGUGCUGCACUUAUAUUCGUAGUCGCCGAGUUGUUGCCCCAUAUCAUAAGCUCGGGUUAUGGCUUCUAUCUCGCCCCGAGUCUAGUAUGGAUCGCCAAGAGCUGUCUGAUCAUCACGUGCCCCCUGUCUUGCCUCUUGGGUCUCUUUUUGGAUUUGGCAUUUAGGCGUGACGUGAGUACUUGCGGAGUGCGUGAAAAGGUGAUGGAGCUGAUCCGCACGAACGUAAACGAUCCAUACAGCGAGUUUGUCAAAGAGGAGUUCCGGCGUGGGACGCUGAGGAGCAAGACGGUGGAGGACAUUCUAACGCCACUGAAGGACUGCUUUAUGCUCCCCUCCACGGCCGUGCUGGACUUUAACACCAUGAGCGAGAUCAUGCAGAGCGGUUACACCCGCGUGCCUGUGUACGAGGAGGAGCGCUCUAACAUCGUGGAGAUCCUUUACAUCAAGGACCUGGCCUUGGUGGAUCCUGCCGACUGCACACCAAUGACCACUAUCACCAAGUUCUACAACCACCCGCUGCAUUUCGUCUUUAAUGACACUAAGCUGGAUGCCAUGCUUGAAGAGUUUAAAAAAGGAAACUCUCACCUGGCCAUCGUACAGAGGGUGAAUAAUGAGGGAGAGGGAGACCCCUUUUAUGAGGUGCAGGGUCUGGUCACCCUUGAAGAUGUGAUCGAAGAGAUCAUCAAGUCAGAGAUCCUGGAUGAGUCUGAUGGCUAUAUGAACAUGAAAGUGAAGCGCCCUCUUCCCCCACUAGAGAUCCCUUUAGAGCCACGUGCAGUGCAGGAAGAAUUCUCUCUCUUUAAAUUGCCCGAAGGCGAGGCGAAGAUCCGCACGUCUCCUCAGCUCCUACUUGCUACACACCGCUUUCUAUCCAGAGAAGUGGAGCAUUUCUGCCCACAGCGAGUGUCAGAAAAAGUCUUAUUUCAUCUCCUGCGACAUCCCAGUGUUAAUCAAGAAGUAAAGUUUGACCCAAACAACAAAAUGAGUCCUGACCAUUACCUCUAUACGCGCAAUCACCCAGUGGACUACUUCAUUCUGCUGCUGCAGGGCCGUGUGGAAGUGGAGAUCGGAAAAGAAGGGCUAAAGUUUGAGAAUGGCGCCUUCACCUACUACGGGGUAUCAGCGCUGUCGGCACCGUCCUCUGUACAUCAGUCUCCAGUGUCCACACAGCAUCGUUCCCUCAGAGACACGUUUGACCUGGGAGAAGCCACAAGCCCAUCCAGUUACUGUCCUGACUACACAGUUCGAGCCCUUACCGACUUGCAGCUCAUCAGGGUAACUCGAUUGCAGUAUCUCAAUGCUUUGAUGGCAUCUCGGGCAUCACAGAGCCCUGGUCUUCCAGAGAUUAAGAUCCUUCCUAACAGCCAGACCAAACUCCUAAAUGAAAAGAACGUCACCCAAGGUACAGAGCUGUGACUGAAGGCAUGGACACAAUCAACGUAACAUUUGACUGUUCACUUCACUUUUCAUUCUUUGAUGCAAUUGACAACUACUGUUAAUGUAUAGAGAGGAUGGAAACAUGUGAGGACUCGCACAAGAAUUUCAAGGAUCUCUCCAUUUCUGUGGUUUGCAGGUACAAGCAAGACCUUGGAAUGCAAGACUGAUAAAGAAGUUUCACACAAGCUUUUUGAUGUAACCUGUUAAGCAUGGACAAUGAUUUUAACUGCUGACCUUCCCCCAAUUUAUUCUUACUUUUUAUGUUUAAAGUUUUCAGAUUUUAUUCAUCAUUGGUGCUUAUGCUGUUUUCCUUUGCUGUGUGGGUAUUGGGUUGGUGUGUGUCUAUGAGGCAUUAUCAUGUUAAAGCCUUUGGUGACUUUUAAUGUCAAUAGACAACUGAGUGCCAGCAUGGGCAGCAGGAACUGCUCUUUUUUUGUUUCGCCUUUUCAGUUGGUUUUUUUUUUUUUUCCUGGUUGGAAAAAAAUAGUUUUUAACUCUUUAUAUAUGUCAUAUUCUGCACCACAUUUCUCCAACAUGUUCAGCUUCUGUAGUUUUCGUGUACUGUAUAUGUAUAUAUCUAUCUAUAGAUAUAUAUACAUAUAUAUAUCUAUCUUGUAGUGUUUAUAUGUAUGACCUUGGUUAGAUUGUAAUGCUGUAAGAGCCCAAAACGUUAUCAUGUAAAGACAACUCAAAAUUUACAAGUUAUGUAAUCUGAGAAUAAUGCUGUGUGUUUAUAUUUAUUGUAAUUCUCACAGCCUUCCCAUAAAAUUAGAAUGAGAAUUUUGUGCAUUGUUUAACGGGACAGCACAACCGAUGUUAGAUUACAUAUUGAACUGCAGUGUCUGUUGCUGCAUUAGCCAACUCUAACUAACAGACUGGGGAACACUAUGGAAGUGUUCCCUGUACUGUGUUUCACCAAUUCACGGGGCGGCUUUUCAGAGAUUUGUUGGGAACUGAUGUGAGUUAGUCUGAGCUCAUGCAAAGUUCACUGUGAAAAAACAAUUCACUUAAAUUUCCUUGGACCUUUUUUUUUGUGAUCAGCAAACAAUGCACACCGUCCUGUAACACUACCAUUGUCUCAGCACUGUAACCAUUUUUUUUUUAUGAGAUCAUAUUUGUGAUAAAUAGUGUCAAUGUUUUAGAAUAUGUUGAAAAUGUAAAAAGAACAAAUUAUGGCAUGUUUUGAGUCCACUUACUAUUAAGGAUCACAGCAAUUCUUUGAAGUGAUCACUUUUGUCCUUUGAUAAAUCCUUUUUACCUGAUGGGCUGGGCCUCUUCCAGGAAGACUCCAUCCACUGACUUCACAUUCAGCAAAAUCAAACUGUUAUAUUUGGUGAGGACAUUUUAGAAUGCUUGUGAGACUUCAGAGACAUGUACAACGGCAAUGAAAUGUGGCCCAGCUUCUUUGAAUUGUUUCUCACUUCAGUCUUAUUCCUUCUUUUUUUGCUUUUUUUUUUUAUGUGAACUUUCACAUUCCAUGCAAGACAUCAGCAAUGUAGUUGACAGUUUUUUUUUUCUUUCUAUUUUUGCCACACAAGGACAUUGUUAAUGGACUACCUUACCUGAGAGUAUUUAUACAAUUGUAGUGCUCAGUUACUGUUUAUCUGGGACUUAAGUUAAAGCUGGAAAGUAAUGGGGUUUUAUUUUUCUCUUUUUCUUAGGAGGACGUGAGGGCGUAGACUAGAUUGUGAGAGAGAAUUGUAAAACAUUGCUGUUUUUACCUCACAAUCUUUUUUAAUGAUUUAAAAUAGUCGCAUAAUCAAGUUUCAUAUUUUAUGAAAACCAUAAUCACCCUAUUAAUUUUAAUUAAUGUCAAAGAAUGACUGAGAAUAAUUUUUUAAAUGACCUUUUUUCAUUUGAUAACCCCAAAUAUUACAUUACACAUUUUUUUUCCCUUUUUGUUGGAGAGAUUCUGCAUAAGGUUAAUAGUUUUUGUUUGUUUUUUUUUUUGGUAGUAAUUCAUAUAUUGGCAAUAAUUACUGGCGGCAGUUGUGACUUUUAUUUGCUGUUUAAUUAUAAAAGAGUAACUGAAUUAUGUUGAGACAGUUUUUGUACAAAGUCUUAGUCUUUCUUUGGUACUAAAUACUGCUCAUGUAUUAAAAGCUCUCUUUUCAACAUUA